rnacentral:rRNA from 1 species
CAGGUAGGACUACCCGCUUAA